rnacentral:tRNA from 1 species
GAGGGUACAGCUCAGUGGUAGAGGGCAUGCCGAGCAUGCAUGAGGUCCUGGGUUCAAUUCCCAGUACCUCCA